ensembl:lncRNA
CUCAGUGUCAAGUAUAAGGGUGAUGAGCUGUGCUCCUUCAAAGUAGAGCACUGAUACAGCAUUCCCUCCUGCCUAUAGGCCAUAGGGAUCUAUGCUGGUUUCCUGCUAAGGUACAGCUGGGUUUAUCUGAGAAUUCUUCUGUUCUUGAUUCAUGGCAUUAUUUUUUUUUGGUCUUGCUUUAUCAGUCUGAAUCUGUAUUGUGAUUGUUGGGCUGCAUCUAAUAGUGGUUACUCUCUCUGAAUGUAACCUGUGAUUUUGUUUUCUGGCUUGGCCUUGGACCCAAUUUGUCACCAUGGAUGUCUGUUGAAUCUGGCUGUUUUCCCUGGCUCUGUCCUGCUUGGGUGUUGUGAGGCUAGAUCUCGGCUAGUGAGGCCCUUGCCCUGCUGUCUGUGGUAUCAGGUUUAAGUCUGCAUUCCUUACGGAGCAGCUGAUUCUGCAGGCAGUUCUGCACUUGUACAACUGCUUUUAUUUCUUGCACGUUGAUCUCUAGACUUUCUCUAAGAGCCAUCUAAGGAGUCAGAGCUAUUGCUGAAGUCUAGCUAUGUGAUUUCAAGUACUUCUCUAUUACUCUCAAAAGCCUAUUACAUUCUUAAAUAAGUUCUAGGCUGCUGUCUCAUUUCAUCUAUUGCUUUAGAGCAGGGAUAAGAGGAGUUACGAUCUUGCCAAAUGAGAGGCCUCUUCUAGAGUUAAUGAAUGCUUUCCAACUUCGUAUGCAAAGGGUAAAUUGCUCUGUGAUCCGGGUGGAGUACAAUGGAAGAGCCUUCCCAGCCUUUGUGUGUGAGUUUCCCUGCAAGGAGAUAAGAGCCCAUGGUGAGCUGAGAUAUACCCACAUCCCUUCCUGGCAGACAGGUCCCCUUUUGGUACUGGAAGGUUGCAAUGAUGUCUCCCUGGAGCCUUCCCUUCGCCAGGCUGAACAACACCAGCUCCAACUCUUUCAGCAUCACAAGUAGCAAGUGAAAAUAUUCUGAUUAAUCCAUCAGGUUAAAGCUCUAUCUGCAUAAAUUCAUUAAAUAUUAAAAAAAAAAAAAUGGGGGGGGAACUGGGAUAUAUGUUUGGGUUUUAGUACAAAUAACCUCACAAAAUGGAGAGUACUUCUGCAGUUGUGGACAGAUAAAGGGGUGGAACUAAGGGGUUAUG